ACGGCCAUACCACAUUGAAAACACCGGUUCUCGUACGAUCACCGAAGUUAAGCAAUUUCGGGCCUGGUCAGUACUUGGGAGGGUGACCACCUGGAAACACUGGGUGCUGUAGGCU